rnacentral:rRNA from 1 species
UACGAAGGGGGCUAGCGUUGUUCGGAAUCACUGGGCGUAAAGGGCGCGUAGGCGGCUUGAUAAGUCGGGGGUGAAAGCCUGUGGCUCAACCACAGAAUUGCCUUCGAUACUGUCGAGCUUGAGACCGGAAGAGGUAAGUGGAACUGCGAGUGUAGAGGUGAAAUUCGUAGAUAUUCGCAAGAACACCAGUGGCGAAGGCGGCUCACUGGCCCGGUACUGACGCUGAGGUGCGAAAGCGUGGGGAGCAAACAGG